rnacentral:rRNA from 1 species
UGGCUCAGGACGAACGCUGGCGGUAUGCUUAACACAUGCAAGUCGAACGAGAAGGAAGAGCUUGCUCUUCCUGAAAGUGGCGAACGGGUGAGUAACGCGUGGGCAACCUACCCUUUGGAAAGGAAUAGCCUCGGGAAACUGGGAGUAAUGCCUUAUAAGAUACGUUUGUCGCAUGGCAUUUGUAUUAAACGCUCCGGCGCCAUAGGAUGGACCCGCGUCCCAUUAGCUAGUUGGUGAGAUAACAGCUCACCAAGGCCACGAUGGGUAACCGGUCUGAGAGGGCGAACGGUCACACUGGAACUGAGACACGGUCCAGACUCCUACGGGAGGCAGCAGUGGGGAAUAUUGCGCAAUGGGGGCAACCCUGACGCAGCAAUACCGCGUGAGUGAAGAAGGUUUUCGGAUCGUAAAGCUCUGUUAUUGGGGAAGAAAAAAAGACGGUACCCAAGAAGAAAGUUCCGGCUAACUACGUGCCAGCAGCCGCGGUAAUACGUAGGGAACAAGCGUUGUCCGGAUUUACUGGGCGUAAAGGGCACGCAGGCGGUUUUUUAAGUCAGAUGUGAAAGGCCACAGCUCAACUGUGGACAUGCAUUUGAAACUGAAAGACUUGAGUAUUGGAGAGGCAAGUGGAAUUCCUAGUGUAGCGGUGAAAUGCGUAGAUAUUAGGAGGAACACCGGUGGCGAAGGCGGCUUGCUGGACAAAUACUGACGCUGA